rnacentral:pre_miRNA from 1 species
GUAGUACUCCCUCCGUCCGGAAAUACUUGUAUUAAAAAUGGAUAAAAUAGAUGUAUCUAUAACUAAAAUAAGUCUAGAUACAACCAUUUCUAGGACAAGUAUUUUCGGACGGAGGGAGUAGUAG